rnacentral:misc_RNA from 1 species
AAGUCGUAACAAGGUUUCCGUAGGUGAACCUGCGGAAGGAUCAUUAACAAAUCUAAACAACAAAAACACCACUUGGGGAGUGUGGCGCACUGGGACGGAGGUUUUUUGGGGAGGCUGGGGAGGAGGAACACACACUUUGAUGCGCGCGACUAUGAUGAAUGAAUGGGUGCAGCACAUAUAUAUAGUCGUCGUCAUCUCAAGGAGUGUGUUACGUGUGAAUCGCAUAUUUUGGGCAAGUGGAGGAAGAGGAGAGGAGGGAGAGGAGACGACAUAUAAGAGACGGAGAGAGUAAGACUAAAAACCUUGCCCCCCCUUCUUGUUGGCUCCUCCUCCCCCCCUUCUCUCCUUCGUCCUUGCUCAAACACGCUUGCGUGAGAACACAAAGAUGAUGGUAAACCAUCAAGUACAACUUUUAACAAUGGAUCUCUCGGCUCUU